UGCCAGCUCUAAGGACUUCACGCCUUCCUCCAUGAGCUAAAUGCCACCAAGAGCAGCAAAAUAGUGCAGGUUUCACUACAGCACCAAGGAGGUUAGCUUAGCAGCACAGGAACUGUAACAGCUGUGACACUUGGGGAAACUCCUGAGCCUCUGAGUUUUGGCAUCCUGGUGGGGGUGUUGAGGGUCCUCAGUACAGCUGAGCGCACAUGGAAAUUGUGAAGGAAGGGGGAAAAAUACCCUUUCUACCCUUCUUGUGUUCUUAUGGCUAGACUAAUAAUGAAAUUGACAGAAGACCAGAUUAACAGGAGAAAAACCCAAUUUAAUACGUACAUAUUGGAGAUCAUAGACAAACGAUGCUCAGAGAGUAAAGAAAGCAGGCAGUAUAUAUUUGUAUCAUUCAUACAAAGAAACGAUAAAUUUGUGAGGAAUGACAGGACAAAGAAAUUCAGAUUGGAGGUACGUAGUUAGUGAGGAAUUUAAGCAGAUUUUAGGCUUGAGGUGGUAAAUUAGCAAGGUUUAUUUCUGCAGGCUUCUCGGCCCUGAGUCCCCAAGAUCUGGCGAUAAGGAUGCAGGGAGAACAACUUCCACAUGUGGAUUUAUUUCCUGCUUCCAGGGAGAACAGAGACAGGAGAGUCAGAAUGCUCUCUUUACUUCUCAAGUAACUUCAAUUCAAAAUAAUCAGCACACCUUUGUGGGAUAUUUUGGGGUGGCCUGCCCUGGGCCCCAACAAAGUCUAAGCUCCUCACUCGGCCUUGCUGACAGGGUUGGGGCCGCAGUUUUCUCUGUGGGGUUAGGCUGGAGAAGAGAAGUCACCGUCUAAAAAUUUUCUGUCUUGCUAGGCUGCCCCUGUGCUGGUAAGUAGAGAAGACAGGUCUUUCCUGGAGCUUUUGAUGUCUGUGCCCAGUGAUGUUUCCAGGUUGCUGGUUGCAUCAGCUCAAGUCUGGGAUACAUGAGGCAGUCAAAACCAAACCCCAGGGGCCUCACCGCUGGGCCGUUCCUUGGAUCCUGAGGUCCUUAGCCAGUCUGCCUUCUCUCCACCUUUCCGAGUCUUCCUGUGCUUAUCUUAUAGAUCACAUCCAGAGUUUUCAUUGUGCUCAAGGGGAGGAAUAAGAGUGUGUCUAUUCCAUCUUCCCAGAAGAGGAACUCUGCCCUCUUGUUUUAUAACCUGCUUUCAAUGGAACUUCUUUUCAUGCCAAUAAAUAUAUUCACAUUAUCAGUUUAAUGGCUUCAUAUUAUUCCACUACAUGGAUAUACAUUGCUUUGAUUAAAUCAGUUAUCUGUGGUUGGAUGGACAGGGUCUUUUCUCCCCCAGCAAAUUUCUUUUAUUACAAAUAACACUGAAGAGAACAUCCAAGUAGCGAAGUAUUUGUCAUAUUCUUAAUUAUUUCCUUAGACUAAAUUUCUGGACACAAUCCCGCUAACUUAAAAGGUAUGUGCAGUGCAUGUUCAGUCCUCUAAAAAGGGCAGCCAAGGGGGCCGGCCCGUGGCCCAGUGGUUAAGUUUGCACGCUCUGCUUCGGGGGCCCAGGGUUUUGCUGGUUGGAAUCCUGGGCGCUGACAUGGUACCGCUCAUCAAGCCAUGUUGAGGCGGCAUCCCACAUGCCACAACUAGAAGGACCCACAACUAAAAUACACAACUAUGUAGUAGGGGGUUUUGGGGAGAAAAAGAAGGAGGAAAAAAAAGAAGAUUGGCAACAUGGUAGCUCAGGUGUCAAUCUUUAAAAAAAAAAGAAAAAACAAAGCACAGCCAAUUGCUCUCCAGGUUGUAGUAAAUUAUGCCACUAUCAGCAGCUCUCUGUCCCUUCAGUAUCACGGAGUGCUUUUUUAAAUUGACAAUCCAGUAAGCUAAAAAUAGCAUGUCACUUUUCAAAAAUCACCUUUAUUUGGUUACUUGUGAGACAUCAUUUAGAGAGCAACUCUAGGUGUCUAUUAAUAUUAAAUUUCUAGGCAGUAAGAGGAGAGGUAGGAAAAACUGAGAUUGAGGGCUUGAAAGGGUCCUCCAGGGAGACUAGAGAUGUGACAGCUUGUGGCCACCAUUGUAAUGCAGCAGCCGGAGGGCAGGACCUGGGGCACCAGCCAGACUGAGAGAGGCAGAGGAUGCAGACAGGCCAGGGCAGCUGUCAUCUUAUGUGACAGUGGGUUUCCUCUGUCAUUCAAGAGGUCAUUUAAUUUCUCUGGAAAGAAGCAUCUGCCGUCCAUUGGAAAUGGGUAGUUGUCUUCACAGUGAAUGGGUUGAAAGCAUGAUUUAAUUGUUGUUCUAUAUCUGCUGGCCUUAUACAUACAUGAAUACAAGCAUGUGUACACACAUGCACACACACACACACACACAAACACAGCCCUGGCCUGUUUUAAUCCUGGUCUUCUGUUUCAUGCCACAAUUAGUCACUAUCGGACUAUAAUUAGCUUAUGUUACAGUCAGCCUGUAAUGACAGUCAUGGAGGACGAGUGCAAGAUGAUAGGAGUUGAGCCUGGCAGAAAGAGAGAAAGGGCUUUCUUCACAGCAGUUCUCAGCUCCCUCUUAGAUUUCACCACUGACCAUCUUGCUGCUCACGGAAUUAACAAUAACAAUAGUGACUUGCAUUUACUUCCCAAGGAUUUUUAACACCAACUCCCUGAAGACAGGAACUCUCCAGAUGCCUCACUCCCCAGAUCUGAACUAGUGAUUGCCUCGUAUCAUUGCUCCAUUUCAACUUGCUGAAUGGAGAUACAUGGAAUUAUAUUUCACUAAGGCUGUUUCAUCUGGAGCCAUUAGAUUUCAUCAGAACAGCUUGUGUCAGAUGUGCUGGGGGGGCAGCCUGGAACUCUGGAAUACAAAAGCCGUGAGACCUCACCCAGAGACCCACUCGCGCCUUGAAGUACCACUAGAGAUCUGGGUCCGACAAACACAGAAAUUUUCAUCAAUUCCACUUUGUUCAAUUCCCACCAAUAAGAGGAAAAGGUACAUUUAUAACCAUAAGCAUUGCAUUAUAUAAUUUAUUCCUGAUAGGAGAAUACUGCCAUUUUGACUGGGCCUUAAGGAAAACAGAAUACGCCAUGUACAAUUUUAUACAUCUGAUGACUGGAAUAAUUGUACACAGGGUAGCUUCUGGCUCUGUUUCAAAUCUUGCUUCUCCUUCACCACUCACAUCCCCCCAGUGCCAAGCACAGGAAGGCAUGUUCCUGUAAAGAUGCAACAUCUAACUCUGCCUCUCUGUGUCGCUGCAGCUAAGCCAGGACAGUGGCUGGUUGGAGAUUCCUGAAGGCAGUACAACCUGCUGUUCACGCCGGUGCCCAGGUGCAGUGGGAGCACACGCUUCCCAAUUCCUGUCACCAACAAAGCCGGCCACCGUCCAGCUCUUCCACCUGGCACUGGAGCAUCCUGAGGUUGCCCAUCCCUGGGACAUGGCGUAUCCCUUUCUGCAAGACAGGUUUGCAUACUCAGAGGUUUGCAGUGCACUGAGGUAUGCACACUCAGGGGUUUGCAGUGCACUGAGUGUGUACACUCAGGGGUUUGCAGUGCAGUGAGGUGUGCACGCCCAAGGGUUUGCAGUGCACUGAGGUGUGCACACUCAGGGGUUUGCAGUGCACUGAGGUGUGCACGCUCAGGGGUUUGCAGUGCACUGAGGUGUGCAUGCUCAAGGGUUUGCAGUACACCGCAGUGUGCACGCUCAGGGGUUUGCAGUGCACCGAGGUGUGUACACUCAGGGGUAUGCAGCACCCCCUACACAUUCUCCAAUCUGGGAGUUACCAGGGAGAGCUUUGCGCGUGGGGUCAUUGAUCACUGGUCAGUCAUUUCCAAAGUCGACGCUGGAUCCAUGUUCAGAUCCUCGGACUGCACUUCAAUGGUUAGAACCCAGGUGCAGGGGGAAUGGAUUCUUCGCCCCUUGACCUCCACCCUCAAGAGGUGUGGAUCAUUUUGCAGAUAUGGACACUGAAAUUCAGAGGGAUCUGCCUCACAGUGGUGUAACCAAUGAACAUCAGUGGAGAGAAACUGGAUAGAGCCAUUUGUCACUGUGGCUCCCCAACUCUCUGAACCCCUUGUCUGUCCCUUGGUAAUUUUUCACAGUAUGAGCCCUGCCAUUCUGAAACAUCUCGCAUUCCCACAUUCCUUUGCAGCUCCUCGCACACAUGUGACUUAGGUCCCACCAACUAGAAGCACACAAGGCCUGGACUCAGAAGUGAACGCUGUAGGGAGGGCUCCUCCUGCUGGGGAAGCAAAUGUCCUGGUGGAGAUGCCCACUCUUAGGGCGCUGCAAUGGCAGGCGUUCUGUCUGGUCCCGAGGGGGCUCAUGUCCAGCGAGGGUGGUGACGGUCACGGUGCCCUCCCUGCAGCAGCUCCCUUGGCCCAGUUCCUGGCUGUGCAGCUUCAGAGCUCUCUGAGCCUUCCCAGAUUCUGGGACCUCCCUCCUACCUUUAAAUAAGACCUCUUCAUGCUUCAAAUAGCAAGAGUUGAUUUUGUUGUUCGCAGCAAAAAGAUCUGACCAACAUUAACUGGAACCCAGGAUUUCUAAUUCCCAAACUCAGAGCUCUUUUCCUUGGCCCACAGUCAGGUAUCAGCUUUAAACUCACACUUUACUAACCUUCUUCCUUUCUUCAGAUAAGUAACUGAAAAUAAAGAACCGGCGUGAAGAGAAUUGGAAGAGAACUUUGAACCCUGGGACCCAGUGAAAAUGAAUAGCCCCGGGUGGGGUGACAAAGAGGAAAACUGAAGGUGCCGGACCCGCUAGGGGAAUGCAGAAGGAGAGGCAGAGAGCAAGAGAAAAUCAGGAAGGAAAAGAGAACAGAACUCACUUUCACUGAGCAAUGACUUUGUGCCAGAACAGUAAAAUGACUUUGUACCAGGACACACUGUAAACAACACCUAGAAAGUCUCUAAGAUGAAUAUUCACGGUAGUUCUCGUCUCCCUACUUUCUAAGGAGGGUUCUUUGUUUGAGCUCUUCAGCUCUCGAGCACUUUUUGUGGGAACAGGAUUAAUGAAUAAGCAAAAGAAAUGUCUCAGAGUUAUGCACAGAAGAAAGAAGAGAGAGAGAAAGUGGGAAGAGGGGAUUACAGACAGGCGGUAUGAGCCAGGGCCACAGGAACGAGAAAUUGAAGGGAGAGCUACCAUGAUGAGUGGGACUUUGGGGAGGGUGAUAUUUUAAGAGAUUUGGGAAAGAUUUGCUGGUCUUGCCUAGUGUGAUAAACCAAUCCCCGGGGCUGGCCCAGUGGUGCAGCGGUUGGGUGCGCACGUUCUGCUUCGGCAGCCCGGGGUUUGCCAGUUCGGAUCCCAGGUGUGGACGUAGCGCUGCUUGGCAGGCCUGCUGUGGUAGGCGUCCCACAUAUAAAGUAGAGGAAGAUGGGCAUGGAUGUUAGCUCAGGGCCAGUCUUCCUCAGCAAAAAGAGGAGGAUUGGCAGCAGAUGUUAGCUCGGGGCUAAUCUUCCUCAAAAGAAAAAUUAAAAAAUAAACCAAUCUCCUUGCCUUGUCUUUCAAGACAUUUCAGAAAGUCUCACAUUAUUCUUCAAGAGGUCUAAUAUGCAUUUAUUUUUUUGGAAGUGUCAC
rnacentral:lncRNA from 1 species